AUUGGUACUAAAAUGGCUCAUAAAAUCAUUCGAACAAGUAAAAUCAAUUUGUCUGAAAAAUGAAAUAAGACGUAUUUGUACUGCAAGUCCAAAAAUCAAUAAAUUGUCUGAAACCAGGGAGUCCAUCUUUUAUGCUCUUCCAUUGACUUAUCUCCCUUGGGUAAGAUCUCAAACAUGUCAGCUCCCAGUGAUGGUUUGGCAGACAAAUGUUUACAGUGAAGUUUGUGACUUUAAUAAUCUAGGAUGAGCAUGUAGGCUAUCCCAGCCUUAUAGAUCUACAUAUUACAAACUAUUUAAGAUAUCUGAAUGCACUAAAGACCAAAAUAGCAUUUCCAAAAAAAAUAAUUACUGCCAAGAAAUUUGACAAUCAUGACAAUAAUUUAGUGAAUAAAAAUGAUAAAUAUUGAUUGGAAAAAUAAUUCCAUGAACAGCAAAAAGUGUCUUUAGAUUUCAACGAGCAAAACAAAAGUAUUCUAAAUCAUUCUUCGUAAAAAAAAAGUGAGCCAGUGGAACCACCUUGCUCGCACCAAAAUUGAGAUUGAGAGUGUCAAAACUGCUCUGGCGCACCAUCAAUAAAUCAACGACACUCUCUCUACCGUGGUAUUGAAACCAGCAUUGGUAACCAAACAUAUUCAUACAGAUACAGACUACCAUUCAUCUACAUUUAGGAAGUCUGAAUAAUACUGAAAACUAUGGUGUAGAAUUUCCAACAGGACUCCUUAUUUUAUAUAAGACAAGGAGUGGUUUAUUUUCCCAUGGUUGUUACAUCAUCUUGUCUUUGAAUAUGCUCGAAGUACAGGGACUUUUAUGGAAUUCAUUGACAUGAUAGUCAAGCAAGAUGUCAACAUCUCGUCCAACCCUCUUCCAGCAAAGCCAAAGCUGACCAAGGAUCUUCACCCUUUCAAAACAGGCUGUAUACAGGACGAGUUAUUCCAGUAGGAACAGGGCUAUAUAUAUGCAAGCAAUGCUCAAUUAAGAUGAAUUUUUGUAAAAGUGACAAUAGCCAGGUCAAACUAAAUACAUGUAUAGAGGAAGAUAUUGAUCUAGACUCGCAGCUAACCUUUCUGUCAGUGUCAACAACAACUGAACUUUCACAGCAGUCAACAUCACAUUGGGAGACUGAUAAUGCUUCUAACAGAAACAAUUUCAACCAACCAAACAAGCAACAGAAACUUUCCAACUUUAAAACAUCAGUUAAAUCUUCCAUGGGAUGAUGUCUCAAAAAAUAACAGUUCAUCAUUUAUGGAGAUUUUAAUGUUAUGGUUUUUCUUUUACAAGAAAGUUAAUGUACACUUGUUUUAUAGUAAAACCUAUAGCCGUUCAAGUAUAAAAAAAACACAUUCAACUUUAUUGAAAUUUGAAGAUUCAUAUGACUUAUUUUAAUUCUGUUAUCUCCGAGGAUGUGAUGUAGAGCAUUAUAGGUACAGUAAUCUUAACAGCUAGAUUUUGUUGUGUAUCCAAUUUCAUUCAAAAUUCUUAUAAAUUUUGCACUGGUAUAUAUAGACUAAGUAAUUUGUUUUUCGUCUAGUUAUGGGAUUUUUUUAUACCCCACGCAAUGAAAUUUCAUGAAACCUUUUCAGAUAAUAAGGACAUACUACGUAGAUGUGCAUAUCGACAGGAAAUUACGAUUCAAUUUUUUUUCCAGGAAUUACGCCCCUUUGAACUUAUUUGCCCAAUAUACUACUGCAGCCUUUUGUCAUCGCAACUCCUCUCAAACCACACAACAGAAUUUCAUGAAACUGUGUAGAUAAUAAGGACAUACUUCGAUGUGCAUAUUGACAGGAAAUUAUGAUUCAAUUUUUUUUUCUGAUACAAUUUUUUUUUCUUACACUUAUUUUAUUUCUCCAAUGACAAUGUGGGGACGUGGGGUAUGUGAGCGCGCUCACUAAGGUUCUUUUAUUUUAGAAGCAUAUAUGAUUUUCAUGUUUGUAUUGACCACAUUGCAGCAACAUAGAUAUAGGUACCUGGCAAAUCUUGCCUUGUUAGCAUACUAGACUCAAAGGGUCAUACAAAAAUGUCCAUCACUAAGUGUCUGUUAAAAUCAUCUGUUUACAGUUUUCACUUUUAAACCAUCAUCUUAAUAACUUUAGAAGAAGUGUCAUACAUAUAUAUAUGUAUACAAAAUUGAAAAAACUUUUCAAUAUAUAUAUAUAUAUUGAUAAAAACUAUCAACAUGACAAGAUCUAAAUACCCAAUUUUUUUCUGAAAAAUUGGACAUAACAUCUAUGAGCUAUUGUCCCUGAAAUGUGUAAAUUUACAAAUUUUCACAGUUUUCUGCUACUAUCCGACAACUAUAUCAAUAUAUUAUGAGAAUAAAUUGCAAAAGUGGUCAGAAGAAACUUUUUUUUAAAGUCUGAACUUAUUCUGAAUUGUUUAACUUCUAAUUUAAAUUGAUUGCGUUUGAAAUAUGUGUUUUUUUAUCGUUUUAGGUGCACAAUUUGUCAAUACGAUCUAUUUCGGCUCCUGGGAGCCUCUAUAUUUAUAAUGAAUAAUUUGUAUUUAUGUAUGAUUAUUUUCUUAAUGUAUUAAAUGAAACAUUAAUUAUUCU